rnacentral:rRNA from 1 species
AUUGAACGCCGGCGGCAUGCCUUACACAUGCAAGUCGAACGGUAACAGGUCUUCGGAUGCUGACGAGUGGCGAACGGGUGAGUAAUACAUCGGAACGUGCCUAGUAGUGGGGGAUAACUACUCGAAAGAGUGGCUAAUACCGCAUGAGAUCUACGGAUGAAAGCAGGGGAUCGCGAGACCUUGUGCUACUAUAGCGGCCGAUGGCAGAUUAGGUAGUUGGUGGGAUAAAAGCUUACCAAGCCGACGAUCUGUAGCUGGUCUGAGAGGACGAUCAGCCACACUGGGACUGGGAGACGGCCCAGACUCCUACGGGAGGCAGCAGUGGGGAAUUUUGGACAAUGGGCGAAAGCCUGAUCCAGCAAUGCCGCGUGCAGGAUGAAGGCCUUCGGGUUGUAAACUGCUUUUGUACGGAACGAAAAGCCCUGGGUUAAUACCCUGGGGUCAUGACGGUACCGUAAGAAUAAGCACCGGCUAACUACGUGCCAGCCGCCGCCGUAA